UAUCACUAAGGGGAGGAAAAGAAACCAAAAGGGAUUCCCCGAGUAAGGGCGACUGAAAAGGGAUUAGCCCAGCGCGUAGGCUGCAGUCCACCCCUCCUCGUAGGGGGUACUGGGCUGUGAGCGGUGCCGCGUAUGGGAGCGAUCGAGGGUGUUGCUGGAUCCGGCCCGAAGUGUGUAUUGAAUGUUAUCCCGCUGACCAUAGAGGGUGGUAGUCCCGUAGGGCCGCGAUUAUCCGGUCAGCCCGCCGGUCGCUCUCGAGAGUCGGGUUGCUUGAAAAUGCAGCCCUAAGACAGGUGGUGAACUCCAUCUAAGGCUAAAUAUCCCCACGAGACCGAUAGAGAACAAGUACCGCGAGGGAAAGUUGAAAAGCACUCUGAAAAGAGAGUCAAAGAGAGCGUGAAACUACCACGAGGAUAAAGCGAGUGAGGGUUCGUGCCCGAAAUGGUUAGAUACAACUGAUCCUCCAACGGGCGGCGGGGGGUCGCGAGUCGCCUCUAAACGGAUCUAUCCGGUUUUAACCUCUUCGAGGCUUCCGGGUAGACCGGCGGCUUCCUUACGUCGACGCCGGUAAAGGUGUUGUUCCUCUAGCCGAAGUAGGGCGUCGCGGUCGUUCGAGAGGUGUCGAAGACCCGGGGGUCUGGGAAACCGUAUCUUCGCGUCGCCCACGCGAAGGGGAGUAGGAAGGCGUUUUCGUCCGACUGCUUUCUGUGGGCAGGCGUCGGAGUACGGGGCCGCCUCGGURCUCUGACGGUCUCACGGACGGUGAAAUAACGUUAAAAGCGUGCCUGUGACUGGGGAGUCGUCCUCUCGCUCUCCAUGGAGGUGGAGGCGAAGUCGUACCCCGCUUAAACCAGUCCCGUGCGCGCCACGCGGCGGAUGUUCGCAAAGCGACUCCUUACUCGUCCCGUCUUGAAACACGGACCAAGAAGUCUUGAAUGUGCGCGAGUCAAAGGGCUGGCUAAACCCCAAGGCGGAACGAAAGUGAUUUUCUCUUUCAUAGGGCUGAUCCGGUUCGGGAUGCGCGAGCGGGAGUUCCGCCGUUAUUCCAAUGCCUCUCGGGGUUGCGGGUGGCGACGGCGCUCCUUCAACUCUCCCCCCGAUUUGCCACCCUAAUAUGUGGACGGCGCAAGCCCGGGGCUCGCAUUUGCUCCUCUCCGCGCGAUUAACUUUAGGGCGCCGUCGUUGUGGUCGUCGUCGUCGUUCGUCUCUCACCAUUCGGAGGAAUAAUAUUCCUCCUUCUGGUGAAAAGGCGACGCGGCGUCGGUCUCGCGGCGGUCGUUCGCGAAAUAAGUCGCGGGGACGGGCAGCGGGUACCUUGAGCGCACCUUCUAGGACCCGAAAGAUGGUGAUCUAUGCGUGGCGAGGAUGAAGCCAGGGGAAACUCUGGUGGAAGUCCGUAGCGAUUCUGACGUGCAAAUCGAUCGUCGGAGCUGCGUAUAGGGGCGAAAGACCUAUCGAACCAUCUAGUAGCUGGUUCCCCCCGAAGUUUCCCUCAGGAUAGCUGGUGCUCGUCACAAGGAGUUUCAUCCGGUAAAGAGAAUGAUUAGGGGUCCUUGGGGAUGAAAUUUCCUCAGCCCAUUCUCAAACUCUAAAUGGGUGAGAUAGCGGGUUUUCUUCACCGAAGCCUCGCUUUGUUCCCGAAUCCGAGUGCCUAGUGGGCCAUUUUUGGUAAGCAGAACUGGCGCUGUGGGAUGAACCAAACGUCGAGUUAAGGGGCCUAAGUAUCGGCUGAUUCAGAAACCUUGAAAGGAGUUGGUCGCUCAAGACAGUAGGUCGGUGGCCAUGGAAGUCGGCAUCCGCUAAGGAGUGUGUAACAACUCACCUGCCGAAGCGACUAGCCCUGAAAAUGGAUGGCGCUUAAGCCGGUCCCCGAUACUCGGCCGUCGAGGUAAUAAUGGCCCUGUCUCCCUCCCCGGGGUUGGUGGUUCAUUCCCCAACGCGGGUGAAAAGAGCGUUCCCGGAGAUGUAGGGUUCGUAUUGGGUCUCGAAGCCUCGACGAGUAGGGGGGCGCGGGGGUGAGCGUAGAAGUUCAGGGCGUGAGCCCGAAUGGAGCCGCCUCCGGUGCAGAUCUUGGUAGUAGUAGCAAGCACUCUUUUGGUACCGAGGAGGACUUAAUGGAGAAGGGUUCCUCGUCAACUGCGUUUGUACGAGGGUUAGUCGGUCCUAAGCCCGCGGCUAACGCCUCUCCGAGGGCGUGGUAUGGUCGGGCGAAAUGAUGUCGUCGUUGAAGAAGUUGUUGUAAUUUUAUUAUUAUACACGCCUUCGCCUCUUCCGAACUCUUCCUCAUCCUUCUUUUUUUAAUAAUUUUUCACUAAUAAUGAAAAAGAAGAGAGGGAGUAAGGUAGGUAGGAGGUAAAUAUUAUUAGUCUUCUUCUUCUUCUCGGCUCACUAGCUCGCACCGCACAUCGGGCGAAAGGGAAUCCGGUUAAUAUUCCGGAACCAGACGCGGGGAAGCACUUCUUGAGCUCUCGAACGCGCUCGAUACUCCUGGUAACGGGAG
rnacentral:rRNA from 1 species